rnacentral:rRNA from 1 species
UACGUAGGGCGCAAGCGUUAUCCGGAAUUAUUGGGCGUAAAGAGCUCGUAGGCGGUUUGUCGCGUCUGCCGUGAAAGUCCGGGGCUCAACUCCGGAUCUGCGGUGGGUACGGGCAGACUAGAGUGAUGUAGGGGAGACUGGAAUUCCCGGUGUAGCGGUGAAAUGCGUAGAGAUCGGGAGGAAUACCUAUGGCGAAAGCAGGCUUCUGGGCCGUCACUGACGCUGAUCUGCGAAAGCUAGGGGAGCAAACAGG